AUUGAACGCUGGCGGCAGGCCUAACACAUGCAAGUAGAGCGGAGCGGCGGACGGGAGAGUAAUGCCUAGGAAUCUGCAUGGUAGAGGGGGAAAAAGUCCGGAAACGGGCGCUAAUACCGCAUACUAUCAGAUGAGCCUAGGUCGGAUUAGCUAGUUGGUGGUGUAAAGGCCUUCCAAGGCGACGAUCCGUCACUGGUCUGAGAGGAUGAUCAGUCACACUGUAACUGAGACACGGUCCAUACUCCUACGGGCGGUAUCAUCGGGGAGUCGUGGAACAUCGGCCAAAGCCUGAUCCACCCAUGCCGCGUGUGUGACGCAGGUCUUCGGAUCGUAAAGCAGUUAAAGAUGGGAGGCGUUACCAACCGAAUAAGCACAGGCUAACUUCGUGCCAGCAGCAGCGGUAAUUC
rnacentral:rRNA from 1 species